rnacentral:rRNA from 1 species
AUCCAGACAUUGGGAGGUAGCGACGAGAAAUAGCGAGGCGGGCCAAAGGCUCGCUAUCGCAAUGGACCAAACCUAAAGAGGUUGGUGAGUAGCAACUGGAGGGCAAGUCUGGUGCCAGCAGCCGCGGUAAUUCCAGCUCCAGUAGUGUAUAUCAAAAUUGUUGCGGUUAAAACGCUCGUAGUCGGAGGAGAAAGACAAGUGGUCGUUGCGAUUCAAUCGCGGCGGCCUCGGGUCUUGUGGUCGCGGGCUCCGGUGGUGAGCUUUAAUGCUUGUGGCCGGUCGCUCGCGAAGCGUGCCUUGAAUAAAGCAGAGUGCUCAAAGCAAGCGCAACGCGUGAAUGUGAUAGCAUGGAACGAAGCAAGACGCGAGCGCGGUUUGUCGGUGAGGCUGCAGAGAUGCGGCCGUCCGGGCCGGGGCAACUCGGCCUGGAGCCGCGCUCGGUCGGAAUCAAGAGGGCCACUUGAGGGCGUUAGUACUUGGUGGCGAGAGGUGAAAUUCUUAGACCCACCAAAGACUGGCUAAUGCGAAAGCAUUCGCCAAGAGUGUUUUCAUUGAUCAAGAACGAAAGUUGGAGGUUCGAAGACGAUCAGAUACCGUCCUAGUUCCACACAGUAAACGAUGCCAACAUGGGGUCAGCUCGAAAGUGUUCAGGUUGGUCUCGCCGGGAAACCUGUAGUGUUCGGGUUCCGGGGAGAGUACUAUCGCAAGGUAGAAAUUUAAAGGAAUUGACGGAAGGGCACCACCAGGAGUGGAGCCUGCGGCUUAAUUUGACUCAACACGGGGCAACUCACCAGGUCCGGACAUGGGCAGGAUUGACAGAGCGAAGAUCUUUCAUGAUUUCAUGGAUGGUGGUGCAUGGCCGUUCUUAGUUGGUGGAGUGAUCUGUCAGGUUUAUUCCGGUAACGAGCGAGACCACGGUGUCUAGUUUAUGGCGGGCGGGCCCAGCAAUGGGUGCGUUCGAUACUAGACAGACGACCGGAUUGAAGCCGGGG